rnacentral:rRNA from 1 species
AACGAACGCUGGCGGCAGGCCUAACACAUGCAAGUCGAGCGAGGUAGCAAUACCUAGCGGCGGACGGGUGAGUAACGCGUGGGAACGUACCCUUUGCUACGGAAUAGCCCCGGGAAACUGGGAGUAAUACCGUAUGUGCCCUUCGGGGGAAAGGAUUUAUCGGCAAAGGAUCGGCCCGCGUUGGAUUAGGUAGUUGGUGGGGUAAUGGCCUACCAAGCCGACGAUCCAUAGCUGGUUUGAGAGGAUGAUCAGCCACACUGGGACUGAGACACGGCCCAGACUCCUACGGGAGGCAGCAGUGGGGAAUCUUAGACAAUGGGCGCAAGCCUGAUCUAGCCAUGCCGCGUGAGUGAAGAAGGCCUUAGGGUUGUAAAGCGCUUUCACCUGUGAUGAUGAUGACAGUAGCAGGAGAAGAAGCCCCGGCUAACUCCGUG